UAUGCUUAGCCCUAAACUUAGAUAAUUAUAUUACAAUUAUUAUCCGCCCGGGUACUACGAGCACUAGCUUAAAACCCAAAGGACUUGGCGGUGCUUAAUAACCCCCCAGAGGAGCCUGUUCUAGAACCGAUAACCCUCGUUAAACCUCACCCCUUUUUGCCUAUUCCGCCUAUAUACCGCCGUCGUCAGCUUACCCUGUGAAAGACCCAUAGUAAGCAUAAUUAGUUUAAACCCAAAACGUCAGGUCGAGGUGUAGCAUAUGAAGGGGGAAGAAAUGGGCUACAUUUCCUGUAAUCAGGAUACACGGAAAGUGCCCUGAAAAAAGCACUAGAAGGAGGAUUUAGUAGUAAGUGAAGAUCAGACUGCCUCACUGAAACCGGCCCUUAAGCGCGCA
rnacentral:rRNA from 1 species